rnacentral:rRNA from 1 species
AUGUCUCAUAAAUUUCAUGAUAUGACAUAUAAAAUAGCCAACUCUCUUGAAUGUCGUUUGAUGCCAGAAGAUGCACUUGCUUGUCUUUGGCCACAACUAGAGGAUAAACUCAAUGCAUCAGCCACCGGUGCUACUGAUGCAUGUUCCAAUGACCAAGAAAAUGUUGAUCCAAAUGUGCAGCAAGCCAAUGACUUGCUUAGUUCUGCACGACUGAAGAAAAAGGAGGUUUCAUCUAAAAAUUUGAGGAGAAAGCCAACUUGGUUUGAUAAGUUACGCAAAGGACGAAAGCCAACUAAAUCAGCGACAACGACAAAAAAAGGAGCAAAGCAACAACAACAACAAAAGAAAAAAAAUAGUGCGCAGCCUCAAGUGCAAGUGGAGAACAAUGGCAAUAGUCUGCAACCUGAAGUGCAAGUGCAGGUGAAAGAAAAUAGUGAGAAGCGUCAAGAAUAUGAUGCAAUUGACAGCUUUACCGAGCUCUUGACAACUUCACGAGUUGACGAUCAUAUCUUUAUGAUGAUAUGA